AGCGAACGCUGGCGGCGUGCCUAACACAUGCAAGUCGAACGUGAACGGGGGCAACCCUUAGUAAAGUGGCGUACGGGUGAGUAACGCGUAGGUAAUCUACCCUAAAAUCUGGAAUAACCGGCCGAAAGGCUGGCUAAUACUGGAUAGAGCGACAGAAUCCGUAAUUGGGUUUUUCGGGAAAGGGGGGUCGCAAGAUCUCGCGUUUUAGGAUGAGCCUGCGUCUCAUUAGCUAGUUGGCGGGGUAAUGGCCCACCAAGGCUUUGAGGGGUAGCUGGUCUGAGAGGAUGAUCAGCCGCACUGGAACUGAAACACGGUCCAGACUCCUACGGGAGGCAGCAGUGGGGAAUCUUGCGCAAUGGACAAAAGGCUGACGCAGCCACGCCGCGUGAGUGAAGAAGGCCUUCGGGUUGUAAAGCUCUGUCGGGCGGGACGAAAAGUUCACGUGCUCAUACCACGUGGAUCUGACGGUACCGCCAAAGGAAGCACCGGCUAACUUCGUGCCAGCCGCCGCUGUAA
rnacentral:rRNA from 1 species